GACGAACGCUGGCGGCGUGCUUAACACAUGCAAGUCGAACGAAGUGGCGAAAGGGAGAGUAAUACGAGAGUAACCUGCCCUCCUUUUUGGGAUAAGACUGGGAAACGGGGUCUAAUACGGAAUAAAGGGGGUUGGGCACGCGGCCUAUCAGCUGGUUGGUGGGGUGAUGGCCUACAAAGGCGGUGACGGGUAGACGGCCUGCGAGGGUGACCGGCCAAAGGGGGACUGAGAUACGGCCCAUGCUCCUGCGGGAGGCAGCAGUUGGGGAUAUUGCGCGAUGGGCGUAGGCCUGAUGCAGCGGCGUCGCGUGGGGGAUUACGGCUUUCAGGUUGUAAACCUCUUUCGCGAUCGAACGGGUAGGUGGAGAAGAAGCGCCGGCUAACUACGUGCCAGCAGCCGCGGUAAUAC
rnacentral:rRNA from 1 species